GACGAACGCUGGCGGCGUGCCUAAUACAUACAAGUCGAGCGGACAGAUGGGAGCUUGCUCCCUGAUGUUAGCGGCGGACGGGUGAGUAACACGUGGGUAACCUGCCUGUAAGACUGGGAUAACUCCGGGAAACCGGGGCUAAUACCGGAUGGUUGUUUGAACCGCAUGGUUCAAACAUAAAAGGUGGCUUCGGCUACCACUUACAGAUGGACCCGCGGCGCAUUAGCUAGUUGGUGAGGUAACGGCUCACCAAGGCAACGAUGCGUAGCCGACCUGAGAGGGUGAUCGGCCACACUGGGACUGAGACACGGCCCAGACUCCUACGGGAGGCAGCAGUAGGGAAUCUUCCGCAAUGGACGAAAGUCUGACGGAGCAACGCCGCGUGAGUGAUGAAGGUUUUCGGAUCGUAAAGCUCUGUUGUUAGGGAAGAACAAGUACCG
rnacentral:rRNA from 1 species